rnacentral:rRNA from 1 species
UACGAAGGGGGCUAGCGUUGUUCGGAUUUACUGGGCGUAAAGCGCACGUAGGCGGAUCGUUAAGUCAGAGGUGAAAUCCUGGAGCUCAACUCCAGAACUGCCUUUGAUACUGAAGAUCUUGAGUUCGGGAGAGGUGAGUGGAACUGCGAGUGUAGAGGUGAAAUUCGUAGAUAUUCGCAAGAACACCAGUGGCGAAGGCGGCUCACUGGCCCGAUACUGACGCUGAGGCACGAAAGCGUGGGGGAGCAAACAGG